rnacentral:rRNA from 1 species
GACGCACGCUGGCGGCGUGCCUAAUACAUGCAAGUCGAACGCAGUGGGGACGGGUGAGUAACACGUGGGUAACCUCCCAUCAGAGGGGAUAACACUUGGAAACAGGUGCUAACCCUAUACUGAUGGCUGGACCCGCGGUGCAUUAGCUAGUUGGUGAGGUAACGGCUCACCAAGGCCACGAGGCAUAGCGGACCUGAGAGGGGGAUCGGCCACACGGGGACUGAGACACGGCCCAGACUCCUACGGGAGGCAGCAGUAGGGAAUAGUCGGCAAUGGACGAAAGUCUGACAGAGCAACGCCGCGUGAGUGAAGAAGGUUUUCGGAUCGUAAAACACUGUUGUGAGAGAAGCGGUAUCUGCCCAGAAAGCCACGGCUAACUACGUGCCAGCAGCCGCGGUAAUAC